AACUGUCAAAAUUUCUUAUUAUUUUCCGAAUAAUAUAUUAAUCCCGGCAAAAGUUAGCUGUACAAGCGGAGGCCUAAAAUGUACCAAAUCUGUAUUAAGUUAUUAAAUAAAUAAAUUACUCAGAAUGCGUAGGAUUGAACAGAAUGAAGAGUAUUUCAGUAAAACCUGCAGGAUUUCACAAGAGUUGAGUUUAUAUUGGUACAAUACCCUGGAAUUUCGUCAAAGAAGAACAUCAGGCGAGCACGUGCUAACGAAACAACCUAUUUGGUAUAUCUCCAGGCUGAUGAUUUAGGUGUAGAUUUGGAGAGGCUAAACUUGAAAAGCGGACCGGGUGCAUUUUCACCUGCUGUCCUUUUUCCGGGCGUGUGCCAUUAUUUCGUGAAAUGAGAUCGGUUGAGGUACGUGUCUACCUGGCCCUGCAUCCAAGAUCGUUGAACUCGAAAUGGUGCUGACAAGACAUGGCUGUACUGCACUCCCACCUUCGAAGUACGAGUACGAAAAGCCUCUCUUCCUCCACCCUCACCAGACUCCCAGGUUUAUCGACUUCCACUCCAUAGAAGAAGAGUCCCCUCUACGACCUCUACGUUCAUCGACGCCUUCUCCUCACUCUGCGGAUCGUGUGGCGUCUGCGGCAUCUCCAAAGAAAAAAAAUUAAUGUAAAAUUAUAAAGUAAGCA